UUCACCGGCAGCUUGUUGGCGUCUGGACUACACUGCAGGCUGAUUGUACACAACAGUCCAGGAAGGCCAAAGAAGUGGUCCCCGUGCAGACGCACUCGGUAGCAGGCUCCGCCCACCUGCCCAGACGUUUUCAAGUCCAUUUUUGAUGCUCCGCGCAUACACAGAAGGUCCUGCAUAUGUACAGAGGUGGCCCGUACGCGGUCAGAUUUGCGAACCGGUAGCGAAGAUUACUUUUCAUAAAUUGCGUCUGCGUUCCCUCGCCACAAUCAAACAGCCAGCAUUCUCCUUCAAAACGGAUUACCGUAGCCGAGGC